AUUAAACGCUGGCGGCAUGCCUUACACAUGCAAGUCGAACGGCAGCACGGGGGCAACCCUGGUGGCGAGUGGCGAACGGGUGAGUAAAGCAUCGGAACGUGCCCUAGAGUGGGGGGAUAACGUAGCGAAAGUUACGCUAAUACCGCAUAUUCUGUGAGCAGGAAAGCAGGGGAUCGCAAGACCUUGCGCUCUGGGAGCGGCCGAUGUCGGAUUAGCUAGUUGGUGGGGUAAAGGCCUACCAAGGCGACGAUCCGUAGCGGGUCUGAGAGGAUGAUCCGCCACACUGGAACUGAGACACGGUCCAGACUCCUACGGGAGGCAGCAGUGGGGAAUUUUGGACAAUGGGCGCAAGCCUGAUCCAGCCAUGCCGCGUGAGUGAAGAAGGCC
rnacentral:rRNA from 1 species